AGUGGAAGCGUCUGGAAAGGCGCGUGAUACAGGGUGACAGCCCCGUACACAAAAAUGCACAUGCUGUGAGCUCGAUGAGUAGGGCGGGACACGUGGUAUCCUGUCUGAAUAUGGGGGGACCAUCCUCCAAGGCUAAAUACUCCUGACUGACCGAUAGUGAACCAGUACCGUGAGGGAAAGGCGAAAAGAACCCCGGCGAGGGGAGUGAAAAAGAACCUGAAACCGUGUACGUACAAGCAGUGGGAGCACGCUUAGGCGUGUGACUGCGUACCUUUUGUAUAAUGGGUCAGCGACUUAUAUUCUGUAGCAAGGUUAACCGAAUAGGGGAGCCGAAGGGAAACCGAGUCUUAACUGGGCGUUAAGUUGCAGGGUAUAGACCCGAAACCCGGUGAUCUAGCCAUGGGCAGGUUGAAGGUUGGGUAACACUAACUGGAGGACCGAACCGACUAAUGUUGAAAAAUUAGCGGAUGACUUGUGGCUGGGGGUGAAAGGCCAAUCAAACCGGGAGAUAGCUGGUUCUCCCCGAAAGCUAUUUAGGUAGCGCCUCGUGAAUUCAUCUCCGGGGGUAGAGCACUGUUUCGGCAAGGGGGUCAUCCCGACUUACCAACCCGAUGCAAACUGCGAAUACCGGAGAAUGUUAUCACGGGAGACACACGGCGGGUGCUAACGUCCGUCGUGAAGAGGGAAACAACCCAGACCGCCAGCUAAGGUCCCAAAGUCAUGGUUAAGUGGGAAACGAUGUGGGAAGGCCCAGACAGCCAGGAUGUUGGCUUAGAAGCAGCCAUCAUUUAAAGAAAGCGUAAUAGCUCACUGGUCGAGUCGGCCUGCGCGGAAGAUGUAACGGGGCUAAACCAUGCACCGAAGCUGCGGCAGCGACGCUUAUGCGUUGUUGGGUAGGGGAGCGUUCUGUAAGCCUGUGAAGGUGUACUGUGAGGUAUGCUGGAGGUAUCAGAAGUGCGAAUGCUGACAUAAGUAACGAUAAAGCGGGUGAAAAGCCCGCUCGCCGGAAGACCAAGGGUUCCUGUCCAACGUUAAUCGGGGCAGGGUGAGUCGACCCCUAAGGCGAGGCCGAAAGGCGUAGUCGAUGGGAAACAGGUUAAUAUUCCUGUACUUGGUGUUACUGCGAAGGGGGGACGGAGAAGGCUAUGUUGGCCGGGCGACGGUUGUCCCGGUUUAAGCGUGUAGGCUGGUUUUCCAGGCAAAUCCGGAAAAUCAAGGCUGAGGCGUGAUGACGAGGCACUACGGUGCUGAAGCAACAAAUGCCCUGCUUCCAGGAAAAGCCUCUAAGCAUCAGGUAACAUCAAAUCGUACCCCAAACCGACACAGGUGGUCAGGUAGAGAAUACCAAGGCGCUUGAGAGAACUCGGGUGAAGGAACUAGGCAAAAUGGUGCCGUAACUUCGGGAGAAGGCACGCUGAUAUGUAGGUGAAGUCCCUCGCGGAUGGAGCUGAAAUCAGUCGAAGAUACCAGCUGGCUGCAACUGUUUAUUAAAAACACAGCACUGUGCAAACACGAAAGUGGACGUAUACGGUGUGACGCCUGCCCGGUGCCGGAAGGUUAAUUGAUGGGGUUAGCGCAAGCGAAGCUCUUGAUCGAAGCCCCGGUAAACGGCGGCCGUAACUAUAACGGUCCUAAGGUAGCGAAAUUCCUUGUCGGGUAAGUUCCGACCUGCACGAAUGGCGUAAUGAUGGCCAGGCUGUCUCCACCCGAGACUCAGUGAAAUUGAACUCGCUGUGAAGAUGCAGUGUACCCGCGGCAAGACGGAAAGACCCCGUGAACCUUUACUAUAGCUUGACACUGAACAUUGAGCCUUGAUGUGUAGGAUAGGUGGGAGGCUUUGAAGUGUGGACGCCAGUCUGCAUGGAGCCGACCUUGAAAUACCACCCUUUAAUGUUUGAUGUUCUAACGUGGACCCGUAAUCCGGGUUGCGGACAGUGUCUGGUGGGUAGUUUGACUGGGGCGGUCUCCUCCUAAAGAGUAACGGAGGAGCACGAAGGUUGGCUAAUCCUGGUCGGACAUCAGGAGGUUAGUGCAAUGGCAUAAGCCAGCUUGACUGCGAGCGUGACGGCGCGAGCAGGUGCGAAAGCAGGUCAUAGUGAUCCGGUGGUUCUGAAUGGAAGGGCCAUCGCUCAACGGAUAAAAGGUACUCCGGGGAUAACAGGCUGAUACCGCCCAAGAGUUCAUAUCGACGGCGGUGUUUGGCACCUCGAUGUCGGCUCAUCACAUCCUGGGGCUGAAGUAGGUCCCAAGGGUAUGGCUGUUCGCCAUUUAAAGUGGUACGCGAGCUGGGUUUAGAACGUCGUGAGACAGUUCGGUCCCUA
rnacentral:rRNA from 1 species